UUUAGUGCAGUUUCUCUUCUUGACUUCUUAUGCCUGGCCCUCUUUUAAAUCCUAGUACUUUUCUCUUUAAAGCCAGUAUAAAAGAGUACAUUCUCUUUGUCUCUCAUCAUGAUCCUUGCAUCAUGGACACUGAUAGACAUCUUGGAUGUGGCCAUGAAAGGUCUUCCAAGAAUUACUAGAAUUCUUUCCGCAUCUUCCAUGCUCAUGAUGAUAAAAUCAGCUAAGAAUUCUAACUGCUCCACCCGAACAACCACAUUUUCCACCAUACCAAAUGGUGUUUUAACUGAACCAUCCGCCAUUGUCACUGUGAGAUUAGAUGGCUUUAACGUUAGCCCUCCAAUUUUCUUAAACAAACGCAUGGGCAUCAUGUUAAUGCUAGAUCCAGAAUCUAUCAUUGCUUC
rnacentral:lncRNA from 1 species